AGUCAAGUUGCAGAAAUGUAUAUGCAAAACGAAUCUACACUGCAUUUCUCCCCACAAAGUUAACAGGUUGAUAAUGUGUUAGCAUUUGCACUAAGCCGGGAUAUAUAUUGUGGUGUCCCCCCUGGUUGCGUUAAUGGAGGAACAAGUCAGAGAGGCUGGAAAACUGGGUCUAACGGCAAUGGAAUUGGGAAGGAAUCCUUUAGGGACGUUGCCAGCUGGUCUUCGGUAGCCCCGAGUCGUGGCUGAAGGACAAAUGACUGACCAUGCUAUCCUCAUACCUCUACCAGAAGAACCUACUGGGCAUCGUUGUCGAUGAGGUUCGAUGAGCCAUGACCUAACGAUAAAUGGAUGGUUGUUCUAGCUUUCCUGAAAGAACUCGGAAGUCAACGAGGAGCACGUCACGUUUAAUGGAAUGAAAGGCCUUCCUGCUCAGUUGGGAGAACAACUACAGCAAAGAAGACAUGCAUGUCAUGGCUUAAAGGG